rnacentral:misc_RNA from 1 species
UCUCCGUUGGUGAACCAGCGGAGGGAUCAUUACCGAAGUUACCUUCAAAACCCACUGUGAACCUUACCUCUUGCCGCGUUGUCUCGGCGGGGGGCGGUGUGCGUCGCGCGCCCUAGCGGGCCGCGCCGCUCCCGUCCCCGCCGGCAGCGCCAAACUCUAAAUGCGCAGCGGACUGUACGUUCUGAUUUACAAAAAAACAAGUUAAAACUUUCAACAACGGAUCUCUUGGUUCUG